GGAGAAGUCGCAUAGUGGUCGAGUGCGUACGCCUGGAAAGCGUAUAUAAACGAAAGUUUAUCGCGGGUUCGAAUCCCGCCUUCUCCGCCA
rnacentral:tRNA from 2 species